rnacentral:rRNA from 1 species
AUUGAACGCUAGCGGGAUGCCUUACACAUGCAAGUCGAACGGAGUUGCGAACGGGUGAGUAAUUUAUCGGAACGUGCCCUGUAGCGGGGGAUAACUACGCUACAGCGUAGCUCAUACCGCAUACUUUUUGAUCGGCCUAUAUCGGAUUAGCUAGCUGGUGUGGUAACGGCUCAACAAGGCGACGAUCCGAAGCUGGAUUGAGAGGACGACCAGCCAGACUGGGACUGAGACACGGCCCAGACUCCUACGGGAGGCAGCAGUGGGGAAUUUUGGACAAUGGGGGAAACCCUGAUCGAGCCAUCCCGCGUGUGCGAUGAAGGCCUUCGGGUUGUAAAGCACUGUUAGCAGGGAAGCGGUACCUGCAGAAUAAGCACCGGCUAACUACGUGCCAGCAGCCGCGGUAAUUC